UUUGUUUUUUGAAACGCACACACACACACUCCUGCUGCUCCGUCACACGCACACUCAUGCACGCACCCUGAUUUUCAAUGUCUUUUUCUUCGCGACAGAGUUGGCUGAAGAUGUGAAAUACCGUUUCACAUAGUUACGGACCGGGUUGAUGGCUGGAAAGGACAUUUUCCCUUCGUUAAAGGAUAGAUGGUCCGGUUAGCCACGACCAUUAUCCAUUUCAAAUUCAUCAACUCAAAGACGCUUGUCCGCUCCAUCAAAACUCCGUAAGUUUUCCCUCCAUGUGUAGAUCAACCGUUCCUGCCUGUAAAUCCUGGGUAUGCCCACAUCAUUAAUGAAUAAGAUGUGUAGAAAACUGUUUAGCCAUAGUUAAAGGCCUUUCAUAAAGAGUCUGUCAUGAUUGCCUGUGCCACACUUAUUGCUUGUUACCUAAUAAUACUGUUGUACAUUUAAUAUCCACUAGCAGAUUUCGUCGCAUUUGCACAAAUUCGGUCAUGUUACUGUGGUCUUUUUAAAUGUCAGUAAAUAUGUGUGUAAAGUGUAUAUGUUUGUUUCACUGUAGAUUUGUUUAAGCCCUCCUAGAAACACCUAAUUAAAGGCCUUUUCAUAAAGAGGCUGUCAUGAUUGCCUGUGCCACAUGUUUAACACGUAUUGCUUAUUACAGAAUACUACUGUUGUACAUUUAAUAUCCCCUAGCAGAUUUCGUUGCAUUUGCACAAAUUCUGUCAUGUUACUGUGGUAUUUUUAAAAGUCAAUAAAUAUGUGUGUAAAGUGUACAUGUUUGUUUCACUGUAGAUUUGUUUAAGCCCUCCUAGAAACACCUCAUUUCAUCCCACAGCCUUAAUUAAUAAGCUGUGCAGAAGCUGUUUAGCCAUAAGUAAAGGCCUUUCAUAAAGUGGCUGUCAUGAUAAACCUGAAAUUACCUUUAGGAUCUUUUCUUUGGGGUUCUAAUCUCCCCAGGUGUACAUGCACUGAAAAUCCUUAGGCUGGAGCCAUCUUGAAGCUCUGUGCCUGUACAUAUAAAGAGAACUAAAUAGGAAACUAGGCUGAGAAACAUUAUUUAGAUGGCUGUUUAAUUGUUGUUUAAAGCCUGAAAUGGACACAAUGCCAAGGGACCUUGUUUCUAACACACACACACACAUACAGACACACAUUCCUGCUCCAUAGAUAACAAACAUAAGGGCAAUAAAACUGGGGGGGUCAUACCCGGUCCAAAAGUUCAAACACAACAACCACAGUUCAACCAGGCCCCUAGACAUCCAUCAACUGGACUACUUCAAAGGAUGACAUAGAGAUCUGAAAUAACACAAAAUAACACGUGACCACGGGAACAGGGGGGACGGGGAGGGGGCACAUAUUCGGACACGCAAAGGUCAAAAUGACGUAAGGUCAUCAAUCAAUCAUUUUGACGCGUGCCGUCUACUU